rnacentral:rRNA from 1 species
UCGGGAAUUUUGGGCAAUGGGCGAAAGCCUGACCCAGCAACGCCGCGUGAGGGAUGAAGUAUUUCGGUAUGUAAACCUCGAAAGAAUGGGAAGAAUAAAUGACGGUACCAUUUAUAAGCUCCGGCUAACUACGUGCCAGCAGCCGCGGUAAUACGUAGGGAGCAAGCGUUGUUCGGAUUUACUGGGCGUAAAGGGCGCGUAGGCGGCGCGGUAAGUCACUUGUGAAAUCUCUGAGCUUAACUCAGAACGGCCAAGUGAUACUGCUGUGCUAGAGUGCGGAAGAGGCAACCGGAAUUCUUGGUGUAGCGGUGAAAUGCGUAGAUAUCAAGAGGAACACCUGAGGCGAAGGCGGGUUGCUGGGCCGACACUGACGCUGAUGCGCGAAAGCCGGGGGAGCAAACG